AUGAGGAAAUAAAUAUAGUACAUGACAUUCAGGUAACUUGACAAGACAGAUCGUGAUAGUGGUUUUGCGUAGACACUGAUGAAAGUGAGCGGAGUCCAGCUGGGGCCCAAGAUACUCAAAGCCCUCAAAGUCUUCAGUUUCUGAGUUAAAGGUUUAUCUGCUCCCUUUACUGUGAAACUUGGAGGACCCAAGGGGAAUUCAUGCUGCUGCCUGUUAUAGCUAUUUUAAAUUUGCUGGUACUUUAACCUUUACAGGUUACUUUACAUUGUUCAUGACUUUAAAAGUUUUAUGCUAAUUUCUUUAAGGGUUUAUCACAUCAAAGUUUACUUUUAUUUUUUAUUUACUCUAAUUUUUUUAAAUUUGGCUGUACCACUUAAAUUAAGAACCAGAGAUCUUAGUUCCCUGGCCGUGAAAGGGCAGAGUCCUGACCAUUGGAGUACCAGUCCCUAUUUCUCUUUAUUAAGAAGAAAACCUGUCAAUCUCAACAGUCACUGGAAGUAUACUGCUGUCUUGACUAGUUCUGGUAAAUGGUGAAAACCCACAGGACAACACGUAUAACAUCAGACAGGGUCCCUCCUGUCGUGCUCCUUAAGUUUCUAUGAUGGCAAGAUUCUCAGGACUUCCUGCUUUGUAAAACCUAAUUCCUGCUCACAAUCCAGUUUUCCUUAUUGUCUGUAGCAAAAUUCAAAAAUAAUUAAAUGUUAACAGUGUUAGGAUACUGGUUGUGGAUGACAUUUUAAAAGCUUAUAAAAGUCAUUUCCUUCAGUUCCUUCUAAGCAAAGUUCUAACUUCAGUCAAGAUCCAUAUCAUAACCUGAGUUUCAUCUAUUACUAGCUGUUUGACCAUGGACAGAUGAGCCUAAAUCUUAUCAUCUGUAAAGCACGAUAAUGAAAUGACUAAUUUGAAAGGUUUUUAAAAAUAUACACCACGGGGCUUCUCUGCUGGACUAGUGGUAAAGAAUCCACCUUCCAACCCAGGGGAUACGGGUUUGAUCCCUGAUCCUGGAAUAUCCCAGAGCAGCUCUGCCUGUGCACCACAGCUACUGAGCCCACAUGCUCCAGAGCCUGUAACGAGAGAAGCCACUGUAAUGAGAAGCCUGCUCAUUGCAACUAGUGAGAAGCCCCCUCUCGCUGUGUAACUAGAGAAAGCCCGGGGUCAGCAACAAAGAACCCAACACAGCCAAAAAACAAAAACGACUACGGAAAGUACACGGCACACAAGGUUUAACACACGUUCUGACCAUGUUUCACUGUCCAGGUCUGUUGUGCAAAGGGGAUGGGAAGGUAUCAUGGAUGUAGUGAAUGAAGGGAAAAAAGGCAAGGUGGCUCUGGAAUUCAGGACCAAUACACAGGCAUAAGAGGGCUGUUGUCCUCUGCCUAACAGAUAAGCUGGCUUAUGCCAUGCUGUCCAGCUUGAAAUAAUCUGAUCAGUGUAGCCACAGUGGUUGGCUUUAAAAUAGCAUCUAGGUUAGCGAGUGCCACUGAGGGCCAGGACAAUAGAUGUUUGAAUGGAAAAAUACUUGAUUUGAAGUUACCUGUCACCCACAUGAAGAAGCGACAUGUGGUUCAGAAGCUGGGCACUCUGACGUACGCUUUAUGCCAACGUGCAUUCUGAAUGGGUGGGAGAAAAGUCUCACAGGGAUGAAAGAUUAGUCUUCCCUGGUCUUUCACCUUUAUUUAAAAUCAAAAGAGUGACUCCCCUGGUGGCCCAGUGGCUAAGAUGCCACACUUCCAUUGCAGUAAGACACAGGCUCAAUCCCUGGUCCAGGAAGAUCCCACAUGCUGAGGAGCAACUAAGCCCGUGGGCCACCUCUGCAACUUCUGAAGCCUGCUCACCUCGAGCCAAUGUUUGAGAAGCCCACGUACAACUAGAGAGUAUAAGCCACCACAGUGAGAAGCCCACGUACAACUAGAGAGUAUAUCCCACUCGCCACAACUAGGCAAAGUUGUUGUUCUGUGCAACAAAGAAGACCCAGUGAAGGAAGGAAAUAGGACUAGUCAAGUAAGGCACAGGAGUGACAUAUCACAGUGAAAUUUUAGACUAGAUCCAUGUGGGCCACAGAGAAACCUAUGGUGAAACUCAUCCUGUACCUCCAGUGGGCUUCAAAACUUCACCAGUAUUUUACAGCUUCCAGUUCCGUCCAGGAUGAAUGGCAUUUGCUUGGACCAAAAAGAUGAAUGGAGCUUCAAACCCUAAGGACCCAUGUCAGUGAUGUGAAUGGAGUCUCACUCACUCAGGCAUUGGCCCUGGCCUUCAGUGUUAGAAACGAUGGGAAAUGCUGUUAAGCGGCCCGUGAUGUCUCCCGAGCUCGAUCCUCUAAUGAAAAGUAAAGAAUCUGAAGACGAACAAGUCAAUUACACGUUUUUUUAAACAGCAAUGAAUCCUCAUUACAGAGAACAGCAAACAAAAGAUCUGUGGCACAUUAUCUUUGGAAAGAUCUUUUGCAAAUUUUU
ensembl:lncRNA